CUCCAAAUACAUUACUAUGUGGUGGACCG
rnacentral:sRNA from 1 species